rnacentral:rRNA from 2 species
UCAAGUGACUAAGUGUAUGUGGUGGAUGCCUUGGCGAUCACAGGCGAUGAAGGACGUGACAGCCUGCGAAAAGCUGCGGGGAGUUGGCAAAUAAACUUUGAUCCGCAGAUGUCCGAAUGGGGGAACCCACCUCUUUUGAGGUAUCUCUAGCUGAAUACAUAGGCUAGGGAGGCGAACGGAGUGAACUGAAACAUCUAAGUAACUCCAGGAAAAGAAAUCAACCGAGAUUCCGAAAGUAGCGGCGAGCGAAAUUGGAUCAGCCUAAUGCUCGAUAACAACGGCUAAUACUGGCACAGUCUGGAAAGUCUGGCUAUAGAGGGUGAUAGCCCCGUACAGGAAAUUAGCGUUGUGGUACUAAGUGCAUGAAAAGUAGGGCGGGACACGUGACAUCCUGUCCGAAGAUGGGGGGACCAUCCUCCAAGGCUAAAUACUCGUGAUCGACCGAUAGCGUACCAGUACUGUGAAGGAAAGGCGAAAAGAACCCCGGGAGGGGAGUGAAAUAGAACCUGAAACCGCAUACAUACAAACAGUAGGAGCCUCGUUAAGGGGUGACUGCGUACCUUUUGCAUAAUGGGUCAGCGACUUACGUUUAAUGGCAAGCUUAACCGAUUAGGGGAGGCGUAGCGAAAGCGAGUUCGAAUAGAGCGAUUUGAGUCGUUAGGCGUAGACCCGAAACCAGAUGAUCUAUCCAUGGUCAGGUUGAAGAUGUGGUAACACACAUUGGAGGACCGAACCGACUAGUGUUGCAAAAUUAGCGGAUGAACUGUGGAUAGGGGUGAAAGGCUAAACAAAUCUGGAGAUAGCUGGUUCUCCCCGAAAACUAUUGAGGUAGUGCCUCGUGUAUAACUCCAGGGGGUAGAGCACUGUUAUGGCUAGGGGGACAUGGCGUCUUACCAAACCAUGGCAAACUCCGAAUACUUGGAAGUUGAGCACGGGAGACAGAGCACCGGGUGCUAACGUCCGGACUCAAGAGGGAAACAACCCAGACCGCCGGCUAAGGUCCCUAAUAUUGUCUAAGUGGAAAACGAAGUGGAAAGGCUAAAACAGUCAGGAAGUUGGCUUAGAAGCAGCCAUCCUUUAAAGAAAGCGUAAUAGCUCACUGAUCGAGUCUUUCUGCGCGGAAGAUGUAACGGGGCUAAGACAAUAACCGAAGCCGCGGAUUCACACGUAAGUGUGAGUGGUAGGGGAGCGUUCUGUAAGCCUGCGAAGGUGGCUUGUAAAGGCUGCUGGAGGUAUCAGAAGUGCGAAUGCUGACAUGAGUAACGUUAAAGUGGGUGAAAAGCCCACUCGCCGUAAGCCCAAGGUUUCCUGCUCUACGUUCAUCGGAGCAGGGUGAGUCGGCCCCUAAGGUGAGGCUGAUAAGCGUAACUGAUGGGAACAAGGUUAAUAUUCCUUGACCGCCGUUGAGUGCGAAGGGGGGACGGAGUAUUGAAGAUCAUCCGGGUGUUGGAUAUCCCGGUUUGCGCGCGUAGGAGGCUGAUAGGCAAAUCCGUCAGCGAAUCUCCGAGGCAAAGCAUCGAGACCUUUUAGGUCGAAGUGAUUGGAUGUGCUCCCAGGAAAAGCCUCUAAGCUCCAGCUCAACGGGACCGUACCGCAAACCGACACUGGUGGGCGAGCUGAAUAUGCUCAGGCGCUUGAGAGAACUCAGGAGAAGGAACUCGGCAAAUUGACACCGUAACUUCGGGAUAAGGUGUGCCUUUGUAGUGUGAAGGAAGAAACAUCCGGAGCAUGAAGAGGUCUCAGAGAAUUGGUGGCUGCGACUGUUUACUAAAAACACAGCACUCUGCAAAGACGAAAGUCGACGUAUAGGGUGUGAUGCCUGCCCGGUGCUGGAAGAUUAAUUGAUGGGGUGCAAGCUCCUGAUCGAAGUCCCAGUAAACGGCGGCCGUAACUAUAACGGUCCUAAGGUAGCGAAAUUCCUUGUC